AGUUGUAGCUGGCUCCUAGGAGC
rnacentral:rRNA from 3 species